AGGGAGGAAACUGACUGCCUUCUUGGGGUUCUCUUAACUGAGCUUUGUUUUUCUGCUCUGCAGGAAAGAUGCAACCUGGGCCAGAGGCCCCUGGAGGCUGUGCCUGACCCCAGACAGAUCAGACAAACCCGAGCAGCCAUUAGCAGCUGCAUGGACUCCUUUGCAUUGUGGGGCUGCUCCUGGGGAUAUUUGUGUUGUGAAUGGGUAGAAUCUGAAUGGCAGAAUAUGAAUUUCCAGAUGUUCUUCUUAGAAGAUGCAGUCUGCCACAGCAGGGACCUCUAUCACCCAAAGGGAAACAGCCGUCUAUCUACGAAGCUGUGAUAUCCCCUACAAGCAAGAGAGCUCAAUUGCUGGGAGGUCUUUGCUUUUUCUGGCUUCCGGGAAUGCAGAAAUCUCAGGGAGCCACUACUGGGCUCUUUCCCCAUAGGAUGUUGGGCCAGGCAACAGAACAAACCUCCUGAGGCACUUCUACCUGGGAAUGACCUCCUGAGGCCGAUGGCAGCCCUCUGAUGAAGACACUAUAGUAUUUAUUUUUUGCAAAUGUUGGUGAUCAUCCAGCGUACAUCUCUGCUUAGUGAACCUUCAUGAACUGGAGGUCGAACGUUCUCAUCCUGCCUUGGUAGAACCACGUAGGUUGGUUCCAGGCUGUUUUUUCUGCAACCCUCAACAUGACAAUAAUAGUGAUGAUGAUGCUAAUGAUGA
rnacentral:lncRNA from 1 species